rnacentral:lncRNA from 1 species
CGGACAACAUGUCGACGCAAUCACGAAGACAAGCCGGAAAGGCCGAAUCCUUGACCUCCGGAAUCGUUUCAUGCGCGGGCGCCUGUGCCCGAGCUUCAACUUUCUCCGUCGAUCGGCGCCCUGCAUUCCCCUCCUCAGUUGGAGGUUUCAAUAUGGAAUCCGGAAGCUUUCUCCGCGACGACACUGCUCUCGAAGCAUCUUGAAGGGUUUCCAGGGAUUGAUUACGAAAUUCCCCGAUUUCUUCUAGUGAGGGAUUCAUCGAUACAGCAGCGUCCUCUUUCGAUGUCUCGACCGUUCUACUUUUACCAAACCCUAACACUUCCUUACCUCUGGUGGUCGAGCUUCAGCUUUCUUCCUCGAUCGGCGCCCUGCAUUCCCCUCCUCAGUUGGAGGUUUCAAUAUGGAAUCCGGAAGCUUUCUCCGCGACGACACUGCUCUCGAAGCAUCUUGAAGGGUUUCCAGGGAUUGAUUACGAAAUUCCCCGAUUUCUUCUAGUGAGGGAUUCGUCGAUACAGCAGCGUCCUCUUUCGAUGUCUCGACCCUUCUACUUUUACGAAACCCUAACACUUCCUUACCUC